UAAGGGUUCCUUGCUUCUAUCUGAAUGGUAAUUUCACUCUUCUUGAGUUGUCACUCACCACUGGAAGGGUCCACGCUUCUUGAUAUGGCUGUAGAUCCAGGUCACAGCUAGUGCUAGGAUGCUUAUAUCUGAUGUGUGGAAUGAGCUGAGCCAUACUGUCUGCCUGUGAUUGACGGGCAAGUCAAAGCGGCUGGAGCUGGUGAUAAAGAUCAGUCUGGUAACAUAUUUUGACAAAAAAAAAAAAAUGUUGCAAGAAGGAUGUAGCACAUAGGAUUUUUCUUCUGGAUUCUUCUGAAUAUUUCAAGAAACUGCAUUAUAAUAUAAUAAUGCAUUAUGAUUGGUACAAAACUUCAUUCAUCUUAUCCUACUGAGGAGCUGCUUCUAACAAAAUAUGAAACAACAUUCUCAUCUUUCCCAUGAUUGUGUCAAAAAUCAAAGGUUCAGAGAUAAAAUACUUAUUGGAAAAUAAAUUGUCAGAAUUUUUUUUACAUCUCUAUUUUAACAGCACUUAAAUGACUUGGGAAAGCAUUUCAGGAAAAAAUUUUUUUUUUUUAGAAAAUAAACAAGCAGGAAAAAAAAAACCACCCUCAACAUCUGAAGGGUUAGAACUUUAACAUUAGAAGAAGGGAUAAUUGCAACAAAUAUUUAUUUUUCUGUUGAUUUGCUUGACUAACUCUAACCCUCAACAGUAAGUGCUUUGUGCUUUCAUUCAGUAUUUUAUUUGUUAGCAAAUAUUCUAAGGGAAGUGUAGUCCCCUGUGCUUUGCAGAUGACCUCAGGAAGUAUAGUUACGUAGAAUAAAAUCAUAGACAAAAACUGGCUCUUUUCUUAACAGUGAAUAUCUUCAUUAUGUAGCUAUGGGGAUGAUUUCAAUUAAAAAAAAUAUAUAUAUAUCUGAUUGGCAACUAAUUUCUUGCUUAGCCAAAUAAAGAAAAUCCAGAUCUGAUUUUAUUUUUUUACUAGAACUGUGACUUAUUUGACUUAAAAAAAAAAACUUUAGUAUGAAGAAGAAAGCUUUGUUUGCCUCUGUCUUUCAUUAUCAGUACUUCAAAAUUUGAACCGUCACCUGUUUCACUCUGCUUUUCUUUCUGAAUAAUUUUUUUUCCAUAACAUACAAGCUGGUGUGAAAAUCUAUCCACUUUACAAAGUGGUUAGUAUUCAUUUUUUUGUUUUCUAGGUUGUAAGAAAGGCAGGGCACUGAGAGAUAAAACUGGAGGAGGAAGGCUGAUGAUGAGAUGUUCUCAAUUGCAUAGCAUAGCAUAACUAUAUUCUAACAGAGCAAAUUUUUGUCAUCUUGAAGGCCGUGGUAAAUACAAUGCAACACUGAAAAUGAUGCACAAAAAUACAGCUUAUUUAUUAAAAAAGUAUAUUCAAAUGUGUAUAAUGUAGAGACAGAUAUUUAAAUAUGGAUAAUAUAAAGACGGACAGAAACAAAGGGCAUUUGUCUGUUACUCCUUUUAUCAAAAAUCAGGAAGCUGUUCCUCCUGCGCUCUAUCCCAAAGACAUUUUCUCCUUGGUUUUUAGUGUAUGUUCAGAGCAAGUGAUUUAUGUAAGCCCUGCAUAUUUGUGUGUUUUGUCAUUGAAGAGGACACUGAUUUAGCUAUACUUUUGCUUGCUUGCAGUCAAAAUACUUAUUUUGAAUACAAAGAGUUUUUACUCAAGUUAAACAUCCUCUUUACCCACAUGUUGGGAUUUCUUUUUUGUUAUCAAUUUAAUUAGAACAUUGUAAUACUAUUUCUUCAUACAGCAUUUCAGCUUUCUUGAUGAGCUGUUUUGAGGCAAAAUAGCAUUUUAUGCCUUCUAGAAUGAUACUGGAACUUGUACAGCUCUCAUCUGACACAGAUCCUUGUAUUUCUCUUAAAUGACAGGCUGAUCACUCAUUGUUCAGCAGUGUAAAUGGAAUUCAAACAGAGUUUUUAACUACAUGCCAGCUGAGACCAAAGGCCUAUUAAUAGCAAUGUUAGUGGCAACAGACCUAGGUAGGUUUUCAUGUGAAGUGGUGAGGCAGUUUAUGCUUGUGUGGGCAUGCACACAAUCUGCGUGUUCGUCAGCUAAGGAACUGCAAGUGUGC